rnacentral:rRNA from 1 species
UACGGAGGGAGCUAGCGUUGUUCGGAAUUACUGGGCGUAAAGCGCACGUAGGCGGCUUUGUAAGUAGAGGUGAAAGCCCGGAGCUCAACUCCGGAACUGCCUUUAAGACUGCAUCGCUUGAAUCCAGGAGAGGUGAGUGGAAUUCCGAGUGUAGAGGUGAAAUUCGUAGAUAUUCGGAAGAACACCAGUGGCGAAGGCGGCUCACUGGACUGGUAUUGACGCUGAGGUGCGAAAGCGUGGGGAGCAAACAGG